GUUGGAGGCGCUUGAGGAAGAAAGGCGUUUGCAGUUAAUAGAGAGAGAGAUGACUUACAAUAUAGCAGACCAAAAAGAGGCCAACGAUAAGGAAUGGGUUAUCGCGGGCUGAAAAUUUUGGCGGGCAGAAAAUUGUGGGAUCGCGGGCAGAAGAUGACAAUUCCCUCUCUGUUGGGAAUUGUACAAUUCCGCCUAUUACCAUGGAAUUUCAACUCGGGAUUUUAGAUGUGCAAUUCCCACGAUAUUUUAUGCGUGUAAUUUGGCAAAUCCUGAGUUGAUUUUGCCAAACGCUGAACUUUCCCUUUUCCACGCUCCAAAUCCCGACUUUUAUUAAAAUCCCGAGUUAUUUUACCGCAUCCAAACACACCAUAAUAGAUUUGAGAGGAAAUUAUUUCAAAUCCGUAUCUCGUUCUCUCGGUUUGACUCUCUCUCCACCAGCCUCUCGUUCUCCAUUCCCUAGCAGAUUAGCAUCCACUCUCAACAGAUAGCAGGUGUUCAACUGGUGGUCUGGAUCUGCCUUAAAAUGGUGCCCCCCAAGUGUUCAAUGAAAGGUCUGAACAAAGAGAGUUUGAUGCAGAAGUGAGGCUAAUUUCUAAGGUUAAGCACAAAAACCUUGUAAGUCUGGAUGAAUUUUAUGAAGAACCAUCUGGUAUGUAUGCAUUGUCUAAGUUUUCAAGUCUUCCCCUCUGUUUCCAUAAAUACUUCAUGUGUAUUAAUAUGGUGUGUUCGGAUUAUUUUUAUUUCCUUGUGUUAUUGUGAAUUGUUUUCUUAGCUGAAGUGGUAAGGCAUGGAUGGGAAUGAGGAAUCUACCCUGUAAAGAAGUAUAUGACAUGGUAGUAAAAGUUGGAAAUUCCAUUUGAAGUUGGUGUGGAGGAUAUAUCAUCAUCUGUUCUCAUUGGCUAAUUUUUUAUUUUAUUGAAUACUUUGCAAAGUAUUAUGCGUACAUUAUGAUUUAAUAUAAUUAUGGCAGAUUGUAGGGAGUGCCCAGAACGUUCACUAUUUCUUCAUGAUCAGUUUGUCAAAUGCAGGAAUAUCUCCAAUCUGCAAUGUGUGUGAAUAUAGAAGCAAUUGCAUACAUGAUUAUAUAUGGCCUCUGCUGGUGCAAGGUUGGUAGAACAACAAUCCAGCUUUUAUAUUGCUCCAAGUUUUUCGAUAUCGGUGUUUCCCUGUCGUCUAUUGUCAUUUUUGUAGUAGUGUUUAUUGAAUUUGAACCAUGUAUAUAAGUUUUGUGUAUGUUUAGAUGCCUUAUUAUUUACUCUUGCACAA